GAACCCAGUGAAAUUCUGCUCCAUACACUGGCUCCACCGAAAUCUUCUGGCAUCACAGGCAAGCUAUGAAUUUGUUCCUUGCUCUGUGCUCUUUUUAUUUGUCCUCAAACUACCUCCUUAGAGCCCUGAGAGAGUCCCUAUGUCACUCGGAUGUAUGGGACAGAUGCCCACGUCUUUAUGGCCUCCCAGUGCCACACCCUUAGUGGUUCAGCCUGCCAUUUGUUGGUCUCUGUCUCCACUGUGGCCUUAGGACCGCAGUAGACUAGAGAUGAAGCGGGACCUGACUAAAUUGGGCAGAGGCUUUAUUAGAACCAGGAGUAGUGUGGGCCCAAGAGCACCCUGGAGGCUACUAGAUGCAGAAGGAGGUGCACAACACUAGGUCAUCCCCCCCCAACUUCAGGACAGAUGGGAUCUGGCACAGUGAUGUAAUAUAAUAUAACAUAAGAGACUAAAGACAGUUUAUUGAAUCCCUGGGGCCUCGGCUAGGCUCUGCAGUCCAUGGCUGAAAGAGGAGAUGAUAAAAACACACACCUGUGGCUUUAGACUUUUAGCUCUGACAGACACUGAAAUGCCUCUGGAGAUGACUUUAGCCACAAGGUGGCCAGUCGGCCCGGCAGCCAGCCAUGUACUCCUAGGAGUCAGCUGCCCAGGGUUUCUGAGCCCUUUGCGCAGGGGCCAGAGAACAAAGGUAUUUAUUGCCUUCUCUGAGCUGUUCAGGCCAUUUCUCCUCCAUAGCCAGCACUUCUUCCUGCCUCCUGGGCCAUUCUUCUCUACCUGAGGGGUGGGAGACUCAGCUGCCUCCUCCACGGGAGCUAAUACCAGACAGUGUGGAUUCAUGGGCUUUUGUUCACGGUUUCCACCAGGGAUAAACAAAUGUUCCCUGUUUAGGCUCCAAGUCCCCAGGGCACUUUGUGACUCUUUGGAAUAUUGAGAGGCACAGUGAGGAACAAUCUCCAGUGCGUGAGCCAGGGCCACCCACCCAUUCACUCAUGUGAUUGAGGUGUGGAGACACACCAGACAUUCGUUUUGGCAGAUAAUGGACUAGCCGGGCAGCGAAGACUUUGAUUUGUUGAAGACCGUGGGCAUCCCUAGACUCGUCCAUGAUUCUAAUCAGAGUGCCUCCAUCCCAGACCAGUGCCCCCAUGCUCUGCAGCACCUGCAGCUCUUAGAGUGUGAAUCUCUUGAGCUGGGACAUAGCUCUAUGGCUACACCUAGAUAACAUUUGCCACUAAGUGCAGAGGCUAGAUCUCAGGUACCAGGCAGACACUGUACUGGUCCGUCUAGAGCCUUCAGAGGUAGCCUUCAGGCCAGCAUCUAUAGAGAACAAUAUAACAGCAGUCUAAGGUCAGUGCCCGGAAGAACCAGAAGUCUGCAAUUUGCUGUCAAAUACAUCCCUAGCAUUUACAGUCCUGUUCUCGUUUUUUACUCAUGAAUCGUACAGUCUUCUCCCCUACACCAACAGUGGAUGUUGGGAGGGAGGACAACUACUUCUCUUCAAAUUAACCAUUUCCAUGUGUGUCAGCCUCUCUGCCUGGAAGGUAUGGAUCCAAGGGCUAGGAGAAGCCUGGCAAGGUUGACCAGAUGGCUCACUCCUACCAGGAACCUGUGUCUUGGCAGCCAUUCUUGGCAAACUGGAGACAUCUAUUUCCAAACCAGGUGCCCUGCAGUUCCCUGUGAGCUGUCAUUCCUUGCCCCCACCCUAUGCUCCCCAAACUAUUAGAAAUUGGUAGCUAUCACCAGAUUGUGAAUUUCUGGCCAGUAGCUCAGGGAAUUGGAAUGAAUCCUAAACCCAGGUCUAUUGAAGACUUUGGGGAUAUAAUUCUUUAUCAAAUAUGCAGCAUUAAUGAAGCUUCACUGCACUGUUUGAUUAACUUGUAGAUGUUUGGAAAGGUUGCCAGAGUGUGGCCCCAGCCAGGUGUAGUGGCACACACCUUUCAUCCCAGCACAAAGGAGGCAGAGGCAUGUGAUGUAUUUCUGAGUUCCAGGCCAGCCAGGGCUACACGGAGAAACCCUGUCUCAAAAAACCAAAUAAAUAAAAAUAAAAUAUGGCCUUGGUUGGGUUAACACAGUCUAGCUUUGUAACAAUGUGAGACUCUUGAUUCUUAGUGUUCAUUACCCUCUGGUCCUGGCGUUGUCUCCCACCUGCUCUCCCAAAGCAGGAUACCGGGAUGUUUUCCAGAGGGGCCAUCCUUAUAUGAUGUCAGGACUGUCUGAACUUUCACUAUUUGUGGCCUGGUGAUAGCCUCCCUUCCCCAGGGCACAGAAAAGCCAAGGAUCAAAUGGCCAGGGUGGACAGCUCCACUGAAGUGACCCACUCUUUUUCUAGAAAGCCCAAGGCCUCUCCCUUGUUAGCCAGAGGGCCUCCUUCUCAUGGGCACUUCUAAUGCCACUGUGCGGGGCCUGGCUCUGCACACCCUGGAAAAGUCUGCAGACACCCAGCCCUCCGCAAUAAUUCACCAGACCAGAAGCCACUGAUGUACAGAGAACACUUAAGAAAAAAAAUGUAUUUUAUGUGAAAAAAAAGUUAAAAACUCUGUAUACUGUAUCAGCAGCUUUCUGUAAAAAUGGCAAUCAAAAGAGUCUAAUAUAUUUAAAACUUUUUUAAAAAAAAUAUUCUCAUGGAUCUUUGAUAUUGUAUUGAAGUAGCUUCGUGCCUCCAAGGUGGGGUCUGACCGUAUCACCAAGGGGCCUGUACCUCUGGAGUUACUCCCAGCUGCCGAGGCCUGUGACGGAAUUCGCUGUUAUGGAUUUUUAAUUAAGAUUAUUAAAUUCCUUUUAAUAAC
rnacentral:lncRNA from 1 species